rnacentral:sRNA from 1 species
GGAGGAGCAGAGAAAAAUUCUUCCCGUUUUAUUGAAUGGGGACUUCCUGGAACUAAAAACAAAACCAAAGAUUUGGAUUUCUCCACUUCCAGUCUUUCAAGAAGUAAGGUAAAUGCAGAAAUGGGUAAUAGUGGUAUCACUACAGAAUUGACUCUGAAAUAUGUUAUUACUAAUGUUACAACCUUAGAAACAGGUAUAAGCUCUGUGAAUGCUGGGCAAGAUGUGAACAUAAUGAUUACAUAUAAAACAUCACUAUAGAAUACCAACUUGGGAGAUGUCGCUAAAGGACUUCAGUCAAGUAAUUUUGGUGUUAAUAUACAAACGUACACCCCAUCUUUAACUCCACAGACCAAGACUGGAGUAAGACCUUUUAACCCUGGUAGGAUGAAUGUGGCAGGAGACUUAUUUCAGAAUGGAGAAUUUGCAACUCAUCAUAGUCCUGAUUCUUGGAUCUCCCAGUCAGCUUCAUUUCCCCGUAAUCAGAAACAGCCAGGGGUGGAUUCUUUAUCACCAGUGGCCUUACUUCGUAAGCAGAAUUUCCAGCCUACAGCCCAACAACAACUUACUAAACGAGCUAAAAUCACUUGUGCAAAUUGCAAAAAGCCUUUACAGAAGGGACAGACAGCUUAUCAACGAAAAGGAUCAGCUCACCUCUUUUGCUCUACCACCUGCCUUUCUUCCUUCUCUCAUAAACGUACUCAAAACACACGAAGUAUAAUAUGUAAAAAAGAUGCAUCUACAAAGAAGGCUAAUGUUGUUCUUCCAGUAGAAUCAAGCAAAUCCUUCCAAGAAUUUUGUAGUACAUCUUGUUUGUCUCCCUGUGAAAACAACCGGAAUCUUAAAAAAGGAAUUUUUAAUAAGUCAAGAUGUACAAUUUGUAGUAAAUUAGCAGAGAUUCGCCAUGAAGUCAGCGUAAAUAAUGUAACACAUAAACUGUGCAGUAACCAUUGCUUUAAUAAGUACAGAUUGGCCAAUGGUCUAAUAAUGAACUGCUGUGAACACUGUGGAGAGUACAUGCCUAGUAAGAGUACUGGAAACAACAUCCUGGUGUUUGGAGGUCAGCAGAAGAUAUUUUGCUGCCAAAGUUGUAUUAACGAAUAUAAACAGAUGAUGGAAACAAAAUCAAAAAAAUUAACAGCAUCAGAAAAUAGAAAAAGGAAUGCUUUUAGAGAAGAAAAUGAGAAACAAUUCUGUGGAUCGUCAAAUACACUUUUGAAAAAAAUAGAGGGAAUCCCAGAAAAAAAGGAAAAGACUUCACAGCUACAGCUUUCAGUAGAAUGUGGCACGGAUACAUUACUGAUCCAAGAGAAUGUGAAUUUACCUCCUUCUUCCACAUCAACCAUAGCUGAUAUAUUUCAAGAGCAACUGGAAGAGAAAAAUUUUGAAGACUGCAUUGUACCAGUUGUGCUUUCCGCAGAUCCAGGUACGUGGCCCCGAAUUUUGAAUAUUAAACAACGGGACACUCUUGUUGAAAAUGUUCCGCCUCAAGUAAGAAAUUUUAACUUUCCAAAAGAUAAUACAGGGAGGAAGUUUUCAGAAACUUAUUAUACACGGAUUCUUCCAAAUGGCGAAAAAACCACUAGAUCCUGGUUACUUUAUUCGACCUCAAAAGAUUCUGUGUUUUGUCUGUAUUGCAAACUCUUUGGGGAAGGAAAAAAUCAACUGAAAAAUGAAAAUGGGUGCAAAGAUUGGCAACAUUUAUCACAUAUUCUUAGUAAACAUGAAGAAAGUGAAAUGCACAUCAACAAUAGUGUUAAGUACUCAAAAUUAAAAUCUGAUCUGAAAAAAAAUAAAGCUAUUGAUGCUGCAGAACGCAGAUUAUAUGAAAAUGAGAAAAAUGAUGGUGUGCUAUUGUUGUACACGUAAUAUACCUGAUUUGUUUUUUGGCAUGAUGAUCAGAAUCUUACAUUACUCAGAAAACAUCUGUCCUGCAAUAGUCAGUACUAUUGUGUUGUAAGUUUCCUCUACAGUGUAACUUGCAGCAGUUCCUUAACAAUAAGUAUGAUAGCAAAUAAAUAGCAAAGAAUGUUUCCAUUCUAAAUCUAAAACUAAUUAAAUUCAAUCAUCAUUAGGCAGUGACUUCAUUAGGCAAUGAAGAUUAACAAUAGGUAAUUGUUAAUCUUCAAAAUCUAUCGAUUUACACCUAUUUAAAAAUUGGCAUUUAAUGACUGUCAUUUGACGGGUUUGGUUAAUAUUCUGUUCUUGGCCGGGCGCAAUGGCUCACGUCUGUAAUCCCAGAACUUUGGGAGGCCCAGGCGGGUAGAUCAAUUGAGGUCAGAAGUUCAAGACCAGCCUGGCCAACAUGGCAAAACCUCAUCUUUACUAAAAAUACAAAAAUUAGCCAGGUGUGGUGGCACACACCUGUAGUCCCAGCUACUCAGGAGGCUGAGGCAGGAGAAUUGCUUGAACCCAGAAGGCAGAGAUUGCAGUGAGCUGAGACUGCACCACUGCACUCCACCCUGAGCAACAGAGCGAGAGUCAGUCUCGAAAGAAAAAAAAUAUUAUGUUCUAAUUACCUUGAAAGAGGAAAGAAAGGCUUGAAUUGAUCAAUACCAGUUUGAAUAAGAUACUUAUGUGAACAAGCAUUCUCAACAUUAUUAUUAAAAUAAAACUACUCAGUUUACAGAAUGGGAUCUGAAACUACAGCUUUUUGCUAUUAAACCAAAUACUGUGGUCUACUUCGUUUGAGCAAAACAGCAUUAUUUGUUAUGUUAAUGAUGGUUAAUUUCCAUUUUAUUGGUUUUAUGUUUAUUUUAAUUUGUAAAUGUUUUAGCAUUUAUUAUUGUAUGUGAACUAUAUUUACCUAUUUUAUGUUGAUAAAAAUAUAAAAAAUAUUAAAAUAAGUAUAUAUUAAGUUAA